AGAGUUUGAUCAUGGCUCAGGAUGAACGCUAGCGGCAGGCUUAAUACAUGCAAGUCGAGGGCAGCGCAGGCAGCAAUACUGGGCGCGACCGGCAAACGGGUGCGGAACACGUACGCAACUUACCCUUAACUAAGGAAUAGCCCAUAGAAAUGUGGAUUAAAACCUUAUAGUACGACGGACUCGCAUGAGUUAGUUGUUAAAACUCCGGUGGUUAAGGAUGGGCGUGCGUCUGAUUAGGUAGUUGGUAGGGUAACGGCCUACCAAGCCAACGAUCAGUAGCUGAUGUGAGAGCAUGAUCAGCCACACGGGCACUGAGACACGGGCCCGACUCCUACGGGAGGCAGCAGUAAGGAAUAUUGGUCAAUGGACGCAAGUCUGAACCAGCCAUGCCGCGUGAAGGAUGAAGGUCCUCUGGAUUGUAAACUUCUUUUAUCUGGGACGAAACACUGAUUUUCUAAUCAGCUUGACGGUACCAGAGGAAUAAGCACCGGCUAACUCCGUGCCAGCAGCCGCGGUAAUACGGAGGGUGCGAGCGUUAUCCGGAUUCACUGGGUUUAAAGGGUGCGUAGGCGGGUAUGUAAGUCCGUGGUGAAAUCCUGCAGCUUAACUGCAGAACUGCCGUGGAUACUAUAUAUCUUGAAUGUUGUUGAGGUGAGUGGAAUAUGUCAUGUAGCGGUGAAAUGCUUAGAGAUGACAUAGAACACCGAUUGCGAAGGCAGCUCGCUAAACAAAUAUUGACGCUGAGGCACGAAAGCGUGGGUAGCAAACAGGAUUAGAUACCCCGGUAGUCC
rnacentral:rRNA from 1 species